GUGUCUGCAGCCGCGGUAAUACAGAGGGUGCGAGCGUUGUCCGGAAUUACUGGGCGUAAAGGGCGCGUAGGCGGCCUGAUAAGUAGGGGGUGAAAUCCCGUGGCUCAACCACGGAACUGCCUUCUAAACUGCCAGGCUUGAGCACGGUAGAGGCAGAUGGAAUUCCCGGUGUAGCGGUGGAAUGCGUAGAGAUCGGGAAGAACACCAGUGGCGAAGGCGGUCUGCUGGGCCGUUGCUGACGCUGAUGCGCGACAGCGUGGGGAGCAAACAGGAUUAGAUACCCUAGUAGUCC
rnacentral:rRNA from 1 species